rnacentral:rRNA from 1 species
UACGUAGGGUGCGAGCGUUAAUCGGAAUUACUGGGCGUAAAGGGUGCGCAGGCGGUUCUGCAAGUCAGGCGUGAAAGCCCCGGGCUUAACCUGGGAAUGGCGCUUGAAACUACAGGACUGGAGUAUGGCAGAGGGAGGUGGAAUUCCACGUGUAGCGGUGAAAUGCGUAGAGAUGUGGAGGAACACCGGUGGCGAAGGCGGCAUCCUGGACCGGUAUUGACGCUGAGGCGCGAAAGCUAGGGGAGCAAACGGG